rnacentral:rRNA from 1 species
GCUAAUCCUGGUCGGACAUCAGGAGGUUAGUGCAAUGGCAUAAGCUAGCUUGACUGCGAGCGUGACGGCGCGAGCAGGUGCGAAAGCAGGUCAUAGUGAUCCGGUGGUUCUGAAUGGAAGGGCCAUCGCUCAACGGAUAAAAGGUACUCCGGGGAUAACAGGCUGAUACCGCCCAAGAGUUCAUAUCGACGGCGGUGUUUGGCACCUCGAUGUCGGCUCAUCACAUCCUGGGGCUGAAGUAGGUCCCAAGGGUAUGGCUGUUCGCCAUUUAAAGUGGUACGCGAGCUGGGUUUAGAACGUCGUGAGACAGUUCGGUCCCUAUCUGCCGUGGGCGCUGGAGAAUUGAGGGGGGCUGCUCCUAGUACGAGAGGACCGGAGUGGACGCAUCACUGGUGUUCGGGUUGUCAUGCCAAUGGCACUGCCCGGUAGCUAAAUGCGGAAGAGAUAAGUGCUGAAAGCAUCUAAGCACGAAACUUGCCCCGAGAUGAGUUCUCCCUGAGACUUUAAGUCUCCUGAAGGAACGUUAAAGACGACGACGUUGAUAGGCCGGGUGUGUAAGCGCAGCGAUGCGUUGAGCUAACCGGUACUAAUGAACCGUGAGGCUUAACCUU